UGUGUUGCUUUUGCCGGGAACAGAUCAGAAAUGCAAGCCUUCCAACUCCUGUUAAAUUAAGAAAAGAAAUGUAAUCGAUCUCACAUCAUGCAUGGUGGGAAUGGAAUGCUCCAGGAUGAAGGGUGCUGCUCGUUUUGACAACGAACAGGAGACCGUGGAUAUGGAGUUCGCUUGUGAAGAAGAGGAUGGUUAAAGGCCAAGUGCAGGGAAGAUGCAUUCUGGAGGGCAAAUGCUGCAUGAGACCCCCAAUCCGAGAAUAUCUACAUAUUGACUGCCUGCAUGAAUGCACAGUGAGAACACAACCAAUCUACAUCUUGGGAUAACCGCCUUAUGGCAGAGGAU